CAACGCUGGCGGCGUGCCUAAUACAUGCAAGUCGAACGAAGCUUUCUUUCACCGAAUGCUUGCAUUCACCGAAAGAAGCUUAGUGGCGAACGGGUGAGUAACACGUAGGCAACCUGCCCAAAAGAGGGGGAUAACACUUGGAAACAGGUGCUAAUACCGCAUAACCAUGAACACCGCAUGAUGUUCAUGUAAAAGACGGCUUUUGCUGUCACUUUUGGAUGGGCCUGCGGCGUAUUAACUUGUUGGUGGGGUAACGGCCUACCAAGGUGAUGAUACGUAGCCGAACUGAGAGGUUGAUCGGCCACAUUUGGGA
rnacentral:rRNA from 2 species